UUUCUGUCCUUUGCUGCUCUGAUCGGUUCAAAGCGGCACAAACCUUUCUACUGAUGGAAUAACUGAGAACCAGAACCAGCACAUAUACAACCUGCUGGGGAUUAAAAGGUUGACUUUAUUAGGUUUUAUCUGGACCAGAACCUGGCAGACCCGGUACCAGAAGAAGCUGAUCGGAACCAGCUGGUUAAACCCAUGUUGUCCUGCAUUCUGACUGGAGCCCGACAGGCUGCCCUAAGGGAGGCUUUUAUUGUGAAACCCAACCGGAAGUAGCGGUCUGGCCCCUCGGCAGUGAUCGGCCAUGUUCGGCUCCUCUCGCUUUAUUUUCAUCUCCGCCUCCAGCUGAGCGGAGCGACAAGAAGUUCGGACACCGAGGAGCUUAGAGGGGCUGAGGAGGCGAACCGAACCCGGAACCGGAUCCGAACCACUGCGGGACCAGGACACACAGAGCGGAACCGGGACUGUAACUGGACCGGAACCACAGCAGGACAGCAUGAUGAACGGGGGAUAGAGGUUCCGGACCAGAGGUCCAGAGGUUCUGUGCAUCAGAACCGGGUCCCAGUGGACCGCCGGCUGCUGCAGACAGGAACAUGUACCAGGUCCAGCUGAAGGAGAAGCAGGAAAGUCGACCCCUGCUGAGUCCCUCCAUCGAUGACUUCCUCUCAGAGAGCCGCAGUGACGCCUCCUCCAGCCAACCCCUGACCUCCAGCCGACCCCUGACCUCCAACACAGCAGUUUUGGCAACGGCUCUGGACCUGGUGGACCUCAGCGACCCGCCUGAGACCCGUGAGCGCAGGGUGAGGAAGAGUCCGCUGAGGAUGAAGGGCGGGUCCAGGAGUCCUCGACACAGAACCAGAACCGAUGAGACAGAACUAACCCAGGUCCGAGUGGACCCCCUGCCCACCAGUCCCAGAACCCCUGAACGGAUCUCUCUGGACUCAGUCAGCCUGUCGUCUCCUCUGGACAAAUGGGACGAGGUCCAGCAGGACUCGGAGGACGGAGGAGAAGGCAGGAGACGAUGCCAGACCAGAUGCACCUCCCAGCACUCCUCCAGUGAACUGCUGUGGUCUGCAGAGUUUAAAACUGAACCCCUGACAAAGAACAGCAUGGACGUCCACAGCCUGGACGACCUGGACUUCAUAUCUCUCACACAGGACAGCAGCGUGUCCAGAUUUCGCAGACGGACUCGCUCUCUGCUGGUCGGGAACGAGUCUCCAGAGGACGAGUUUGUCCGAGCGAAGGCUGCAGUCGAGUCGGACACGGAGUUCUGGGACAAGAUGCAGGCGGAGUGGGAAGAACUGGCCCGGAGGAACUGGCUGGAGGAGUCGGAGAGUCAGCAGAAGCCCAUCCCACCGUCCGUUUCUCCUGUGGAGAAGGGUUACUACUUCAGCACCACCAAUCCAUUCAGAGACCAACCCAACGCAUUCAUUGAGGGUCAGGAGAAAGCUCGCCAAGGAGACCUGAACGCCGCCGUCCUGCUGCUGGAGGCCGCCAUCCUGCAGGACCCCAACGAUGCCGAGGCCUGGCAGAUGCUGGGGACGACCCAGGCUGAGAACGAGAACGAGCAGGCCGCCAUCGCGUCCCUGCAGAGGUGCCUGGAGCUCCGGCCCAACAACCUGCAGGCCCUCAUGGCGCUGGCCGUCAGCUUCACCAACGGCGGCCUGCUGAGGGAGGCCUGUGACGCUCUGCGCCGCUGGAUCCGCCACAACCAUCGAUACAGGCACCUGGUCCAGGACAGCAGGGGCCCCACCUCACCAGCCAGGGGCCAGGCCUCACCGGGCAGGGGCCCCGGCUGCUCCACACCUGCAAGUGUGGAGCUGCAGGACGUCCUGCUGCUGUUCCAGGAGGCGGUUCUGCUGAACGUGGACGGCGUGGACCCGGACCUGCAGACCGGACUGGGCGUCCUCUACAACCUGAGCUCCGAGUUUGACAAGGCGGUGGAGGCCUUCAGCGCGGCGCUGUCUGUCAGACCUCAGGACUACCUGCUGUGGAACCGGCUGGGAGCGACGCUGGCCAACGGGAACCGCAGCCAGGAGGCGGUGGAGGCCUACAGCCGGGCCCUGGAGCUGCAGCCCGGCUUCAUCCGCUCCAGGUACAACCUGGGCAUCAGCUGCAUCAACCUGGGAGCUCACAGGGAGGCCGUCAGUAACUUCCUCACGGCUCUGAACCAGCAGAGGCGGAGUCAGAGCUGCAGCCAGCAGCAGAUGUCGGCCAACAUCUGGGCCGCCCUGCGCAUCGCCAUCUCCAUGAUGGACCGCCCCGAGCUGUUCCAGGCCGCCAACAUGGGGGACCUGGACCUGCUGAUGGCAGCCUUCCAGGUGGGGGACCUGUGAUGGGCCCCCAGGGGCCCACAGACACCAGGACGGCUGCAGCUUCUCAGCACAACCCUUUAUUUAACCCGGAGCUUCAGCCGCAGCGCCGCCGGCCCUGGAUCCAGGAGGGGGGUUCUAGACAGGGGCCCCUGUAGAACAGGUUCUGGCCCCUGACCUGCAAACCUAAAUCGAUUUGUUACGAUAUGAAAGGAUGGAAACAAGUCGUCCUUUGGACUCAUUGAAACUGAGAAAGAAUCACAGUUUUCUGGAUCAGGGGUCCUCAAAGUGGGGGGGCCGGGAACCUGGGGGGGGUCUUCAGACACCAAGUGAGGGGUCACCAGCUGAUUUUCACAAUCACUGUGAUCCCUGAGAAAUACGGGGAGCCUAAAUCCAUCAAUCAAUAAAUAGAUUUUAUUUAUUUAGCCGUCUCUAAUACAAGAUUCAAAUACGACAUUUUUAAAAUGCACAAUUAAAGAUUUAAAUGUAAUUAAAUAAUUGAAUACCGUAAAUCCUCUAAUAUAGGCCGGGGCCUUUAAUUCACUCAGGUACAUCUCGGUCCUGGACAUUAUUGGAAGGAGGCCAGAAUUAGAGGCAGGCCUCUAUUUCUAUUUGGUCAA